rnacentral:lncRNA from 1 species
GUGAGAGUCAAAGGUGAAUAGUGGAAAACGAAGGGGUUAACAAAAGUAAAGUUUAGGAGGUUAUCCAAACUUUCCUCGUAGAUUAGAUUAGGGUAGUAAUUUGGACUUUUUCCUUUCAGAAAAUACAUAUUGGUACCAGAUUGCGGUAUUCAUGAUGUAGAUGCGGGAGGAGCUCAUUAUAGACUAUUUUUCUCUAAAUAUCCAUCCUUCUUGUGUGGCAAUAUGACGGAGGUGAAAGUACAAAUCAUAUCAUUGGC